GUCCAAAUGGCGGAAUUGGUAGACGCGCAGAUUUCAGGUAUCUGUGCCACAAGGCGUGGAGGUUCGAAUCCUCUUUUGGGCACUA
rnacentral:tRNA from 1 species